AUUGAACGCUGGCGGCAGGCCUAACACAUGCAAGUCGAGCGAGCGGCGGACGGGUGAGUAAUGUAUGGGGAUCUGCCCAGUAGCGGGGGAUAACUACUCGAAAGAGUGGCUAAUACCGCAUACUAUUGGAGAGGCUGAUAUAGGAGUAGAUCGUUGGUGGGGUAAAGGCUCACCAAGGCAACGAUCCGUAGCUGGUUUGAGAGGACGACCAGCCACACUGUGACUGAGACACGGCCCAGACUCCUACGGGAGGCAGCAGGGGGGAAUUUUGGACAAUGGGGGAAACCCUGAUCCAGCCAUCCCGCGUGUAUGAGAAGGCCUUCGGGUUGUAAAGUACUUUUGGCGGAGAAGCGGUAUCUGCAGAAUAAGCACCGGCUAACUACGUGCCAGCAGCCGCGGUAAUUC
rnacentral:rRNA from 1 species